rnacentral:rRNA from 1 species
GAUGAACGCUGGCGGCGUGCCUAAUACAUGCAAGUCGAGCGAACGGACGAGAAGCUUGCUUUUCUGAUGUUAGCGGCGGACGGGUGAGUAACACGUGGAUAACCUACCUAUAAGACUGGGAUAACUUCGGGAAACCGGAGCUAAUACCGGAUAAUAUUUUGAACCGCAUGGUUCAAAAGUGAAAGACGGUCUUGCUGUCACUUAUAGAUGGAUCCGCGCUGCAUUAGCUAGUUGGUCAGGUAACGGCUUACCAAGGCAACGAUGCAUAGCCGACCUGAGAGGGUGAUCGGCCACACUGGAACUGAGACACGGUCCAGACUCCUACGGGAGGCAGCAGUAGGGAAUCUUCCGCAAUGGGCGAAAGCCUGACGGAGCAACGCCGCGUGAGUGAUGAAGGUCUUCGGAUCGUAAAACUCUGUUAUUAGGGAAGAACAUAUGUGUAAGUAACUGUGCACAUCUUGACGGUACCUAAUCAGAAAGCCACGGCUAACUACGUG